rnacentral:lncRNA from 1 species
CUCACACCCUUGAGCGCGGUGGUGGAAGAAAUGGCGAGGGACAUCUCGCGUGUGUGUUGGUGUGUGUAGUCGUUUGUGUGUGUGCUGUUAGCGAGACGACGCGAGAAUCCGUGUCUGAACCGCUGACGAUGGAAUCGCCAAGAGGUAACCGGCGGCCGCCGCGGUUAACUCGAUUAGUGCCUGUUCUCAGAACCAGGCGUUAGCGGAGCGCCUAAACGAGGCGCUCGCGCGUGCGUGAGGUGACGAUCCGCGACAACUGUUGGACCAGGGGGUAGCGAGGGGUGCUCGUCAGAAAACGGAAUAUUCCCGUGCCGUGGUCAAGGCUGGCCUCAACGCCGGGGGAAAGCUGAGGAUUGCGGGGGUCGGAGUGAGACGGCGUUCACCCUGACCGCGACGCGGCGUGAGGCGACGGUGCCCCGCGCGCCGCGGGUCAUCGAAAGCCUCACACCCUUGAGCGCGGUGGUGGAAGAAAUGGCGAGGGACAUCUCGCGUGUGUGUUGGUGUGUGUAGUCGUUUGUGUGUGUGCUGUUAGCGAGACGACGCGAGAAUCCGUGUCUGAACCGCUGACGAUGGAAUCGCCAAGAGGUAACCGGCGGCCGCCGCGGUUAACUCGAUUAGUGCCUGUUCUCAGAACCAGGCGUUAGCGGAGCGCCUAAACGAGGCGCUCGCGCGUGCGUGAGGUGACGAUCCGCGACAACUGUUGGACCAGGGGGUAGCGAGGGGUGCUCGUCAGAAAACGGAAUAUUCCCGUGCCGUGGUCAAGGCUGGCCUCAACGCCGGGGGAAAGCUGAGGAUUGCGGGGGUCGGAGGCGUCUCUCACCUGUGGCGGAUGCGUUUGAGCGCCCCUGUGAGUCUGCUACCGGGUAAGCAGCUCGAUCUGCACGAGAAUGGAAGCCGAGGGGGUAAGAUGACGGUUCGUCGACGGUCCGCGGCGCGCGAUCCGGUGGAAUAAUUAAUUCCCGGCCGCAAAACUCGGGGCUGACUGGGCAGGGGGCCGAGCAGACGUGGGGCGGCGACGAUCGGUGGAUCUCGCGAAUCUCGCCAAAGAAACGCCGUCUGGGCGACCGGACGACGCGUCCGCAUCCGUCGAGCCCUCGACCCACGGAUUUCCGAGGCAAUAUCCGCGAUGUCCCGGGGUGCCGCGCCCACAGGGCGGCUGGCCAAAAAACCUGGAGCGUGCGUUAAUGUGCCCGAGAAGGAAAAAAUCCACGGAGUGCGCCUCCGGGAACGGGGGUUAGCGUCGCCCACGACCGUCCCAACGCCCAAAAAGACGCUCGGACGGCGGCUCGGAUCGCGUGAGAUGCCAAUUCGAGCGGCAAUUCGGUCGAUCACACGCAUUUCUCCGCUCGACGAAACCCACGCUGCCAUCCCGAACACGAACGCAGAUUACCAGCCGGGGCAGAAACCGACGAUGGCGAAUAGACACGUCGCCGGGUUCGCCGCGCCGGCUUUCGUGCGACCGAAAAAAACGACGGCGAAGCGCUCGGGGGUGUCGUACGUACCUUCGAGUGUUCGAAACGAGCGGUCGGACCACUCGAGCGUGACGUGCGCGAAUGGAUCGCGCGCGCGUUGUUGUGGAGCGAACAUGUUUGUUGCGCCAGUCUGGGGAAUAAAAAUCAGCCGGGGUGGAAAACGUGGCAUUCGGCUGGUCGUAUGGAAGUUCAGUCACAAUAUAUCGCGGAAAACGGAUUUCAUUGGAUUUCGACCGCGACACGGGUUUCAGUGAGAGGGCUGUGAGAAUUGUGCUCUUCUCGACCAAUAAAAACUCGACAAUCAAGGGUUCGAGCGCUGUUGACUCGUUCAAACUUUUCCCGCUCCCCUCUGCUCUGGAGAUGCUGACGUGGGAAAUUGAUUUGGCGGCUGCUUUGAACCGCAUUCGUUGCGGGCAGCACUUGGUCAGGAACGGUCAAAAGGCUGACGGGAUCCUGGGCGAUUUUUUCGCGGAUGAGAUGAUUUUUUCCGAAGCGUGUGUGAAGAUCACAUCGACUGGAUGGCAUGUUUGGGGUAUAGAAGCAUUAUUUCCCAAAAACUCGGCAGCGUCACACUGGUUCGCUGCAAAGGGAAGUGCCCCGCGCUGCCGGGCUGGGCGGGCGGGCAGAGCGAGGAAGGCACCGUCCUUUCUCGGAGGUUACACAUUUCUUUGGAGCG